rnacentral:rRNA from 1 species
AGCGAAAUUCCUUGUCGGGUAAGUUCCGACCUGCACGAAUGGCGUAACGAUGGCCACACUGUCUCCUCCCGAGACUCAGCGAAGUUGAAGUGUUUGUGAUGAUGCAAUCUACCCGCGGCUAGACGGAAAGACCCCAUGAACCUUUACUGUAGCUUUGCAUUGGACUUUGAACCGAUCUGUGUAGGAUAGGUGGGAGGCUAUGAAACCGGAACGCUAGUUUCGGUGGAGCCGUCCUUGAAAUACCACCCUGGUUUGUUUGAGGUUCUAACCUUGGCCCGUGAUCCGGGUCGGGGACAGUGCAUGGUAGGCAGUUUGACUGGGGCGGUCUCCUCCCAAAGCGUAACGGAGGAGUACGAAGGUACGCUAGGUACGGUCGGAAAUCGUGCUGAUAGUGCAAUGGCAUAAGCGUGCUUAACUGCGAGACCGACAAGUCGAGCAGGUGCGAAAGCAGGUCAUAGUGAUCCGGUGGUUCUGUAUGGAAGGGCCAUCGCUCAACGGAUAAAAGG